rnacentral:rRNA from 1 species
AACGAACGCUGGCGGCGUGGAUUAGGCAUGCAAGUCGUACGAGAAUGGGAUUUGAACAUUCCUUCGGGAAUGGGAUGGUCCCUAGUAAAGUGGCAAACGGGUGAGUAACACGUGGGUAAUCUGCCCUCGAGUUGGGGAUAACAUUCCUAACGGGGUGCUAAUACCGAAUAACAUCACCGGGUCUUCGGGCCUGGCGAUCAAAGGUGGCCUCUGCUUGCAAGCUACCACUUGAGGAUGAGCCCGCGGCCCAUUAGCUUGUUGGUGUGGUAACGGCUCACCAAGGCUAUGAUGGGUAGCUGGUCUGAGAGGAUGGUCAGCCACACUGGGAUUGAGAUACGGCCCAGACUCCUUCGGGAGGCAGCAGUCGAGAGGCUUUGGCAAUGGGGGAAACCCUGACCAAGCGACGCCGCGUGGGUGAUGAAGGCCUUCGGGUCGUAAAGCCCUGUUGUGGGAGAAGAAAAGCUACAUGGAUAAUACCCACGUAGUUGACGGUUC